UACGAAGGGGGCUAGCGUUGUUCGGAUUAACUGGCGUAAAGCGCGCGUAGGCGGGUUUUUAAGUCAGGGGUGAAAUCCCAAGGCUCAACCUUGGAACUGCCUUUGAUACUGGAAAUCUUGAGUCCGGGAGAGGUGAGUGGAACUGCGAGUGUAGAGGUGAAAUUCGUAGAUAUUCGCAAGAACACCAGUGGCGAAGGCGGCUCACUGGCCCGGUACUGACGCUGAGGUGCGAAAGCGUGGGAGCAACAGG
rnacentral:rRNA from 1 species